AUUGAACGAUGGCGUCAGGCCUAACACAUGCAAGUCGAACGAGUGGCGGACGGGUGAGUAAUGUCUGGGAAACUGCCUGAUGGAGGGGGAUAACUACUGGAAACGGUAGCUAAUACCGCAUACCAUCGGAUGUGCCCAGAUGGGAUUAGCUAGUAGGUGGGGUAAAGGCUCACCUAGGCGACGAUCCCUAGCUGGUCUGAGAGGAUGACCAGCCUCACUGCAACUGAGACACGGUCCAGACUCCUACGUGAGGCAUCAGUGAGAAAUAUUGCACAAUGGGCGCAAUCCUUAUGCAGCCAUGCCGCUUGUAUGAAGAAGGCCUUCGGGUUGUAAAGUACUAUCAGCGGGGAGGCGUUACCCGCAGAAGAAGCACCGGCUAACUCCGUGCCAGCAGCCGCGGUAAUAC
rnacentral:rRNA from 1 species